CAAAGAGGUGUGGUUUGUAUCACCCAUAUAUUAAAAGCCAAUUUUGUUGCUAACCUUUGUUGGACAUGGUGUUCUUCUCCCUACUUACUGAAUCUGGCAAUAAAACCUUGCAAGCAAGAGGAAGGGAAGAGAGAUGGCGAGCAUGAAUUAGCAUAUUCAGUACAGUGUCCAAGAGUGGUGCAGUAUGGAACUGAGAUGUUUCUUAUGUCACAUAAGCCUGUGUUUUAAAUAGGGGCCAUCUAAUAUUAGUGGCCUGCUGGUCUGUGAAUUUGACAGUGGAACAGAGGGGAAUAUCCUUCUCUGGUGGAGGAGCUUGAAAGGAUCAAUGUGGAAGGGCAAUGAAUUUUAAAACCGUAAAAUUUCUUAAAUUCAAGUCAGCUGUAUACCUGCCACUGUCCUGAAGGUAAAGUUGCUUUUUUACCCAUUAAAACUUUUUGUUUGUUUGUUUGUUUUAAUGAUAUGUAUACAACCUGGUAUAUAUAAAUAUCAGUGGACUACGGUUAUUAGUACAAUUUCAUAAAGUGUAUAACAGAAGGAAACAAGAUUUCAACUAAGAUAGACUGCAUUUAGAUCAGCAACUGACUAUUUUGGAUAAUCUUGCACAAAAUGACAAGUACUAACAACAUUUGUCUCAGAAGUGAGAUAGAUACAUUUAAUGGUCUUUAUUAUAAAGUCUCAUUUUUUUCUCCAUGAACCUCCAUGAACACUCGGGAGCAAGGACAUGUCAAGGAGAUAUUUCUCUUCAUACUCAAACUUCCACACUCUCACAUUAAACUAGUAAGAUCCUAGAACAGUUCAAUGAAUUUUUUUGUUUGUUUGUUUUGUUUACUUAUUUAUUUUUAAACUGAGUUAAAAGAAAAGGAACAAAAAUAAUGUUAAAACAUCAGUACCUAAAUAAGGACAAUAUGAAAUGUGAGGUAAAAUUUGAUGAAGAGGGUUUUUAAACAACUAGGGUAGUAGAUGUUUAGGAACUGGUUGUAAAGGAGUUCUGUGUUGAAUUGCAUUUAUCAACUUAUUUUCCACAAUAUUUAUGCCUUAUAGGAAUUAUUGUCUACGUAGGGAUGUUUAUGUCAUACUCAUUGUGUAGAAUUUGUAUUCAAAGAUGAAUGCAUACAGCCAUAUGAGUGUUUGUGUAAAUAUACCAAGAUUUCUAAGGAGAACUAAAAGCAAACACUGAGGACUCAAUGAUAUAUAUACAAAGGCAGUUCUGAAAGUAAUACCUCCUAUUUUAUUAUGUCAGCCCAUGACAUCAGAGGCAGAUGUUGCUGAUAUGGCAGUUGAGGCUGAACCUUUUCACCAAUAUUCUAUUACAUAUUGUUGUUGUGUGACAGAUGGCAGCAGAGGGGCAGUCUGACAAAAUGGCAUCUGAUAUGAAGGUGCAUAUGAAUCAAAGGUGUGUCACUGAUUUCCUCACUAUGGGAAAAAUUGUACCUGUUGAUAUUCAUCUAUGCUUGCUGAGUACUGAUAGACACCAAACAGUAGAUGUGAGCACAGUGAUGUUAUGGGUGGAGUGUUUCAGCAAUGACACCACCAUAGCAGCUGUGAAACUAUGGGUUUCUACUGGUGCAGAUUUUUGUGAGCACAGCAUGAAGACUCAUGUUCAUCACUGGCAAAAAAUGCACAGAUAAUGGUGGUGACUCUGCUGAAAAAGAGUGUUUUUUAGCUGAGAAUUUGCUCUAUCAAAUAAUGCCAUGGUGUUCUUUGUAUCUGUUGUGGUUUCCAUGGAAAUACAUAGAAGGCAUUACUUUUGGAGCAACCUACAGAGAGAUACAGAGACAGAAAAAUCUGUCUCAUCUUUAUUAAGAAUUCAGAAAGAGUACUGAAAGCUAGCAAAAUGAUCUUGUAAAGUGUAUAAAAUUACAUGGCAAAAAAGAAAUUGGGCAGUUUUUUUUGCUCAGUGGAUAACUUUAGGGGACAGAGAAUCUGUAUUUCAUACAUUUACAUGGUCUCUGGCCAUCUUUACAAGCUUCAAGGCAAAACAGGAAGAUUGUGCCAUUUCAUGUUUGUUAAUAUAUGAUUUUAUAUCAAAAUGCAUGUAAAAUGUUUUACUUAUUAUUCAAAUUGAAAUUACACUUCACUUUCCCACGUGGCAUAUUCGUAUUUAGAACAAGCUGCAGUCAGACAUAACAACUGUAUGGAGAAGACUGAGGUGCUAACAGGUACAUGAACAAAAAUAUUUUCAGCAGCCUUUAUAAAGUCUGUGUCACAACUUCACAGCAGCUGAUGAGAUCACAAUGUGCUAAUGUCUGUACCAACUACUUCUUCGCUGUGUUCCUGUCUCACUUCCCUCCUCCUAGUGCCUGACCUACUUUACAUCACUUUUCCCUGAUGGGCAUUAUAAAACACCUGAAAUCCUUCAAGCCAUGAAGAUCUGGUAAUACUCUAGGUACAAAUCCACAAUUAUUACUGUCCAUCAUUUAUAUGCUAGAUACAUCCCAGUGGCCAUUCAUAGACAUAAAUUAUCAUUCUGUGUCAUGCAAUUGUUUUAGUCCCAGAAGCACAGGACUGUUAAGGGAGUUCUUACUGUCCUGUACUAUUAGUUGCAGAUGAGAGUUCAAGCAAAGACUUUAAGAAAUUGUUUCCUCCUCUCUGGUUAGUAUUCUCUGGGCUAUUACAGUCCUCUAAUGGAACAUAACAGACAUCAUAGCUAUAUAGAGGACAGCUGUAGACUUUCUCAUAUAAACAUCAGUACAGAAGACUUGUUAAAGGAAUGUAGAAAGAAACAGUGUUGCUUUUAAAUAACUCAUUUUAAAACAUCGAAGAGCUAGUCUGGUUAACAGUGUAUGUACAUAAUAUAUAUCUCAAAACAGAAAAUGUUUAGUUGUAGGGAAAAAAAGAAAUAAAAAAUUUGGAAAUUUAUGUCUGUCUUUUAGGAAGCCUAACACAAAAGACAAUAUAAAUUUAUAUAUUCACAAGAAUGUUGUGAAACAGUUAAAAUACUAUAUACAGUACACAUUAAAAAAAAAAAAAAAAAAAAAAGGAAUGCAAUGAAUAGUUAUUAGCUGCAUUAUGUUAGCUCCAUCUUUUACCCACAGGCAUUUUACCAUUACCGCAGUUAUUGUAUAUCACAAAUUACAGACCAACUCCAGUAUUUGCUACCACAGAAUUACAGCCUAAGGGAGUGCCAGGUUUUCUGUCAUCAGUAUUCAGGACACUACGUUUGCAUGGAUAAUGAUAGAAACCAGAGAGGGCAACCAACAAUUUGGAAAAACUGCAGAGAAUUAUAACACAAAAUAUGCUACCCUUGAGCCUGUACUUAUACAUUAUGUAGUUUCAAGUUCCUAGGUGAGCGGAGCCUGCAGCACUGCAAGGCACACCUAAGGGUGUAUUUACAAGUGCACUUGGAAGAAGAUGUGAACUCAACAGCUUCUGAUACAGUGGCUCCCAAGACAUGAAGUACUCUGCCCUGGGGGCCAACAAGAAAGCAUGCAGAGUGAUCUCUAGGAAUUGCUGCUCACUUAAUGCAAUUGCAUCCUCAUCUCAUCCAUGGAAGCUGAAGGGGAUUUCCAGUGCAGGCCACCUAAUCAAUCAGUCAGUCAAGUGGAGUUUUCUCAGCAGCCCUCAGUCCCUGGUCUUCCAUCAGUAAUAUGUGGAAACAGUAAACAGUGGAACUCAUCUUGCAUGUGCUGUAAAAUAUCCUGUAUGAGGAUCCUCAAUGUACUGCAUGACAGCUUGAGGAUGUACAAUCAUGUAUAGCCUAUUUCUGUCUACCAGAAUGUGUGAGGUCAAUAAAGUGUAACCAAAACAAAACAAAACAAAAACAACAACAACAACAACAACAACAACAAAAAACCACCAUGCUUCAUGGAUCAGAAAUAAACUUAUAAACUUACAGUGGUUCCUGAAGGCUGUCCUGGCCUGUAUAAUAUAAGGAAACUGUAUCAAUUCAGAGUGAACUGUGCUGAUUUCAGCCCACAAAAUAUGAGGAAAAGUAUUUGUCUAUAUUUUUCAUCUGAAAGGAAAGGACUAAUCAGUCUGAAAAGGUAAAUUCACUCCCCCCUGUAUAGUGAAUCCUUCCAGAGCGCCACUGCGAACAACAUACUUAAAUGACUUAUUUAUCAGCUAUGGUUUUUAUAUUUUCCUCACAGAAAAUGUGAACAUUAAUUGCCAUCUAGUCUUAGUAAAAUUUUUGGCUUCUACUUAGAAGAGAGAAAUUUAAAUGGGUUUGGUAGUUACCAUUUUGCUUCAUGAGUAUUUAUUGAUCUUUCAUUGUAUAUGUGAACACAAAACACACAAAUAUGAAUACUGUGAAAAUUGCACUUGAAUAAAUUAAGUUCUUUCAGAAGCAAAUGCAGUGUGUAAAAUAGGGAGAAAAGAAGCAGUAGCUUUCUAUUGUAAACUUCAUUCUCUUUGUGAUGUAAUAUAGCGUCGUUAUUAAAAUCUCCAUGUUAGAGUUUAUUGACUCCAUUCAAGUAGCACUUAAUCUCUGUUACCUGGAGGUUAAAAGUCAAAGAACAGUCAUCCAUGUCAGUGAUUCCUGCAGCAGAUUGUUACUGAAUCAUGUAAGGUUGUUUAGUGGGGAAAUUUGGCUUCCAGCAUCUUUAUAUAUCAGAGAUAUUACAGUGCAGCUCUACCUCAGCUCUUCCCCCUCAAAAACGAUGAUGAUUCUAUGGGCCUCAUUUAGAAGGAUGCCCUGUGAAAAGAAAAUAAAUGAAUACCUUGGGCAGACAUUUCUGAAAGUAGCAAACGUGACAAUGAGUAAUUUCCUGACUUUACCAAACAAGCAUGGAUGAAAGGUAUGCAAACACAGUCAAUUGCCUUUAUAACAUCUAAAAUAUUGGGAAGAUACCUCCUAUAUUUUUGUAGUCAAGACACAUUUUAAGUAACUGUUGGUUUAUGCAUACAUAUUGAAAACUUUCUUUGGUGACCACCUGAGAGAUCAGGAAAGUUUGGAAAAGCAUCAGAAAUAGGCCAUUGGCCUAGACAUGUUGGCAACUUCUGUAUUAGUUUAAUUUGAAUGUUAUCAGUGGUGAUAUGGGCACUAUUCAAUUUAUCUCUUGAAUCACAUGUAGGCACCAUUCAUUUUAUCUUUUGAAAUACAGAAGGUUUAAAUGCUAUAAUCCAUCCAGACAAUGAAGGAUCUAUUUGUGUUGUUGAGAAAAGUACAGCAGAAAACUAGAAAUAGAAAAAAAGGAAGAAAAAGGGAAAAAAAAGUCCAAGCUCCUGAAGUAGCUGUGGCCAUGUUACAGAAGGACAUCUGUAAUGUAAGAAAAGUGGCUGGAAGGAGCCAGAAGGGCUGAAGAACAUAAGGAAAGGGAGAAAACACCUGAUGUAUGUGUUAUAAAAUAGUUCUUACUACAAGUACCAUAAAGGAAAGCUGAAAUGAUCUUAUUAACCUGCUUGCAUCUCCUCUUCUGCCAAGUCAAAUGAAAUAUUGUGAGAAGGUAUUUUUUUCUGCUGUCUUAUUUUUUAUGUGAUUUCAUUUACUUAUUUAUUGUAAGUGCUUUAGAAAUAAAAAGUCACUUUUACCUCUCUGUUCCCAAUGGGCAAAAAGCACCAAUUCCUUUUUAUUUGGAAGCAAGACUGAAGAAAUCAAAGUAAAUGGAACUUCUAAAUCAUUCUUACGAG
ensembl:lncRNA